UACGUAGGUGGCAAGCGUUGUCCGGAUUUACUGGGCGUAAAGAGCUCGUAGGCGGCUCAGUAAGUCGGGUGUGAAACCCUCAGGCUCAACCUGGGGACGCCACUCGAUACUGCUGUGGCUAGAGUCCAGUAGGGGAGUGUGGAAUUCCCGGUGUAGCGGUGAAAUGCGCAGAUAUCGGGAGGAACAUCAGUGGCGAAAGCGACUUCCUGGACCAAUACUGACGCUCAUGUGCGAAAGCGUGGGGAGCAAACAGG
rnacentral:rRNA from 1 species